GACAGCAUUGGCGCGGACUGGUAUCCGGUUGAUUGCGGUUUGCAGGGUCCGCCAUGGAGUCAGAGCAGAUGCUGGAGGGACAGACACAGGUUGCAGAAAACCCUCACUCUGAGUACGGGCUCACAGACAGCGUUGAGACCACCAAAUCCCAUCGAGUUUCUAGCAUCUUAUCUUUUAAAAAAUAAGGCACAGUUUGAAGAUCGAAAUUGAUUCUUGGGAAGAAAAGAAACAUUUGGUUGCUACUGUAGAUUUACAUGAUUACGAGGCAGCUUUUGUUGCCAUGAUUCCCCUCCUCACUCUGGAAGUCUAAGAACCUUCAGGACCACGGAACUCACUUCUGGAGUUGCAGAAGACAGCAUAUCCCUGUCUGAUUUAAUCACCAUACUUAUUUAAUGAGUGUCAUCUGUGCAAUUUUUUUCUCAGAUUGUCUUUUACUUUGUUUUUAAAAAGACCUUCAAAAUAAACUGUUAAAGCAUCUUUAUUUUAUA
rnacentral:lncRNA from 1 species